AAUGGUUUUUAUCUGCUAUAGGAUAGGAUCGUGGACGAUUAUGGUUGUUGGUGAGGUAACGGCUCACCAAGCCGAUAAUCGAUAGGGGCCGUGAGAGCGGGAGCCCCGAUAUGGGUACUGAGACAACGACCCAGGCCUUACGAGGCGCAGCAGGCGCGGAACCUCCGCAAUACACGAAAGUGUGACGGGGUUACCCAAAGUGUUCAGUUUUGAACUGUGGUAGGUGAGUAAUGUUCCCUACUAGAAAGGAGAGGGCAAGGCUGGUGCCAGCCGCCGCGGUAAAACCAGCUCUUCAAGUGGUCGGGAUAAUUAUUGGGCUUAAAGUGUCCGUAGCCGGUUUAGUAAGUUCCUGGUAAAAUCGGGUAGCUUAACUAUCUGUAUGCUAAGAAUACUGCUAUACUAGAGGGCGGGAGAAGUCUGAGGUACUACAGGUGUAGGGGUGAAAUCUUAU
rnacentral:rRNA from 1 species